CCUACGGGGGGCAGCAGUGGGGAAUAUUGGACAAUGGGGGGAACCCUGAUCCAGCCAUGCCGCGUGUGUGAAGAAGGCCCUCGGGUUGUAAAGCACUUUCAGUGAGGAAGAACGCCUGGUGGUUAAUACCCAUCAGGAAAGACAUCACUCACAGAAGAAGCACCGGCUAACUCCGUGCCAGCAGCCGCGGUAAUACGGAGGGUGCGAGCGUUAAUCGGAAUUACUGGGCGUAAAGCGCGCGUAGGUGGCUUGAUAAGCCGGUUGUGAAAGCCCCGGGCUCAACCUGGGAACGGCAUCCGGAACUGUCAAGCUAGAGUGCAGGAGGGGAGGGUAGAAUUGCAGGUGUAGCGGUGAAAUGCGUAGAGUUCGGGAGGAAUACCAGUGGCGAAGGCGGCCUUCUGGACUGUCACUGAUACUGAGGUGCGAGAGGGUGGGUAGCAAACAGGAUUAGAUACCCUGGUAGGC
rnacentral:rRNA from 1 species